rnacentral:rRNA from 1 species
GGGUUGUGAGGUUAAGCGACUAAGCGUACACGGUGGAUGCCCUGGCAGUCAGAGGCGAUGAAGGACGUGCUAAUCUGCGAUAAGCGUCGGUGAGGUGAUAUGAACCGUUAUAACCGGCGAUUUCCGAAUGGGGAAACCCAGUGUGUUUCGACACACUAUCAUUAACUGAAUCCAUAGGUUAAUGAGGCGAACCGGGGGAACUGAAACAUCUAAGUACCCCGAGGAAAAGAAAUCAACCGAGAUUCCCCCAGUAGCGGCGAGCGAACGGGGAGGAGCCCAGAGCCUGAAUCAGUGUGUGUGUUAGUGGAAGCGUCUGGAAAGGCGCGCGAUACAGGGUGACAGCCCCGUACACAAAAAUGCACAUAUUGUGAGCUCGAUGAGUAGGGCGGGACACGUGGUAUCCUGUCUGAAUAUGGGGGGACCAUCCUCCAAGGCUAAAUACUCCUGACUGACCGAUAGUGAACCAGUACCGUGAGGGAAAGGCGAAAAGAACCCCGGCGAGGGGAGUGAAAAAGAACCUGAAACCGUGUACGUACAAGCAGUGGGAGCCUCUUUAUGGGGUGACUGCGUACCUUUUGUAUAAUGGGUCAGCGACUUAUAUUCUGUAGCAAGGUUAACCGAAUAGGGGAGCCGAAGGGAAACCGAGUCUUAACUGGGCGUUAAGUUGCAGGGUAUAGACCCGAAACCCGGUGAUCUAGCCAUGGGCAGGUUGAAGGUUGGGUAACACUAACUGGAGGACCGAACCGACUAAUGUUGAAAAAUUAGCGGAUGACUUGUGGCUGGGGGUGAAAGGCCAAUCAAACCGGGAGAUAGCUGGUUCUCCCCGAAAGCUAUUUAGGUAGCGCCUCGUGAAUUCAUCUCCGGGGGUAGAGCACUGUUUCGGCAAGGGGGUCAUCCCGACUUACCAACCCGAUGCAAACUGCGAAUACCGGAGAAUGUUAUCACGGGAGACACACGGCGGGUGCUAACGUCCGUCGUGAAGAGGGAAACAACCCAGACCGCCAGCUAAGGUCCCAAAGUCAUGGUUAAGUGGGAAACGAUGUGGGAAGGCCCAGACAGCCAGGAUGUUGGCUUAGAAGCAGCCAUCAUUUAAAGAAAGCGUAAUAGCUCACUGGUCGAGUCGGCCUGCGCGGAAGAUGUAACGGGGCUAAACCAUGCACCGAAGCUGCGGCAGCGACACUAUGUGUUGUUGGGUAGGGGAGCGUUCUGUAAGCCUGUGAAGGUGGCCUGUGAGGGUUNNNNNNNNNNNNNNNNNNNNNNNNNNNNNNNNNNNNNNNNNNNNNNNNNNNNNNNNNNNNNNNNNNNNNNNNNNNNNNNNNNNNNNNNNNNNNNNNNUUGCUGGAGGUAUCAGAAGUGCGAAUGCUGACAUAAGUAACGAUAAAGCGGGUGAAAAGCCCGCUCGCCGGAAGACCAAGGGUUCCUGUCCAACGUUAAUCGGGGCAGGGUGAGUCGACCCCUAAGGCGAGGCCGAAAGGCGUAGUCGAUGGGAAACAGGUUAAUAUUCCUGUACUUGGUGUUACUGCGAAGGGGGGACGGAGAAGGCUAUGUUGGCCGGGCGACGGUUGUCCCGGUUUAAGCGUGUAGGCUGGUUUUCCAGGCAAAUCCGGAAAACCAAGGCUGAGGCGUGAUGACGAGGCACUACGGUGCUGAAGCGACAAAUGCCCUGCUUCCAGGAAAAGCCUCUAAGCAUCAGGUAACAUCAAAUCGUACCCCAAACCGACACAGGUGGUCAGGUAGAGAAUACCAAGGCGCUUGAGAGAACUCGGGUGAAGGAACUAGGCAAAAUGGUGCCGUAACUUCGGGAGAAGGCACGCUGAUAUGUAGGUGAAGCGACUUGCUCGUGGAGCUGAAAUCAGUCGAAGAUACCAGCUGGCUGCAACUGUUUAUUAAAAACACAGCACUGUGCAAACACGAAAGUGGACGUAUACGGUGUGACGCCUGCCCGGUGCCGGAAGGUUAAUUGAUGGGGUUAGCGGUAACGCGAAGCUCUUGAUCGAAGCCCCGGUAAACGGCGGCCGUAACUAUAACGGUCCUAAGGUAGCGAAAUUCCUUGUCGGGUAAGUUCCGACCUGCACGAAUGGCGUAAUGAUGGCCAGGCUGUCUCCACCCGAGACUCAGUGAAAUUGAACUCGCUGUGAAGAUGCAGUGUACCCGCGGCAAGACGGAAAGACCCCGUGAACCUUUACUAUAGCUUGACACUGAACAUUGAGCCUUGAUGUGUAGGAUAGGUGGGAGGCUUUGAAGUGUGGACGCCAGUCUGCAUGGAGCCGACCUUGAAAUACCACCCUUUAAUGUUUGAUGUUCUAACGUUGGCCCGUAAUCCGGGUUGCGGACAGUGUCUGGUGGGUAGUUUGACUGGGGCGGUCUCCUCCUAAAGAGUAACGGAGGAGCACGAAGGUUGGCUAAUCCUGGUCGGACAUCAGGAGGUUAGUGCAAUGGCAUAAGCCAGCUUGACUGCGAGCGUGACGGCGCGAGCAGGUGCGAAAGCAGGUCAUAGUGAUCCGGUGGUUCUGAAUGGAAGGGCCAUCGCUCAACGGAUAAAAGGUACUCCGGGGAUAACAGGCUGAUACCGCCCAAGAGUUCAUAUCGACGGCGGUGUUUGGCACCUCGAUGUCGGCUCAUCACAUCCUGGGGCUGAAGUAGGUCCCAAGGGUAUGGCUGUUCGCCAUUUAAAGUGGUACGCGAGCUGGGUUUAGAACGUCGUGAGACAGUUCGGUCCCUAUCUGCCGUGGGCGCUGGAGAACUGAGGGGGGCUGCUCCUAGUACGAGAGGACCGGAGUGGACGCAUCACUGGUGUUCGGGUUGUCAUGCCAAUGGCACUGCCCGGUAGCUAAAUGCGGAAGAGAUAAGUGCUGAAAGCAUCUAAGCACGAAACUUGCCCCGAGAUGAGUUCUCCCUGACUCCUUGAGAGUCCUGAAGGAACGUUGAAGACGACGACGUUGAUAGGCCGGGUGUGUAAGCGCAGCGAUGCGUUGAGCUAACCGGUACUAAUGAACCGUGAGGCUUAACCUUACAACGCCGAAG